rnacentral:rRNA from 1 species
UACAGAGGGUGCGAGCGUUAAUCGGAAUUACUGGGCGUAAAGCGUGCGUAGACGGUUAUUUAAGUCGGGUGUGAAAUCCCCGGGCUCAACCUGGGAAUUGCGAUGGAGACUGCAAGGCUAGAAUCUGGCAGAGGGGGGUAGAAUUCCACGUGUAGCAGUGAAAUGCGUAGAGAUGUGGAGGAACACCGAUGGCGAAGGCAGCCCCCUGGGUCAAGAUUGACGCUCAUGCACGAAAGCGUGGGGAGCAAACAGG